rnacentral:rRNA from 1 species
UACGUAGGGGGCGAGCGUUAUCCGGAUUUAUUGGGCGUAAAGCGUGUGUAGGCGGUUUGUUAAGUAUAAGAUAAAAGCCCGGAGCUUAACUCCGGUUCGUCUUAUAAACUGGCAGACUUGAGUGUGGUAGAGGCAAGUGGAAUUUCUAGUGUAGCGGUUAAAUGCGUAGAUAUUAGAAGGAACACCAGUGGCGAAGGCGGCUUGCUGGGCCAUUACUGACGCUGAGACACGAAAGCGUGGGGAGCAAAUAGG